UAAUACGGAGGGUGCAAGCGUUAAUCGGAAUUACUGGGCGUAAAGCGCACGCAGGCGGUUUGUUAAGUCAGAUGUGAAAUCCCCGAGCUUAACUUGGGAACUGCAUUUGAAACUGGCAAGCUAGAGUCUUGUAGAGGGGGGUAGAAUUCCAGGUGUAGCGGUGAAAUGCGUAGAGAUCUGGAGGAAUACCGGUGGCGAAGGCGGCCCCCUGGACAAAGACUGACGCUCAGGUGCGAAAGCGUGGGGAGCAAACAGGAUUAGAUACCCUGGUAGUCCACGCUGUAAACGAUGUCGACUUGGAGGUUGUGCCAUUGAGGCGUGGCUUCCGGAGCUAACGCGUUAAGUCGACCGCCUGGGGAGUACGGCCGCAAGGUUAAA
rnacentral:rRNA from 1 species